UGGGGAAUUUUGGACAAUGGGGGAAACCCUGAUCCAGCCAUCCCGCGUGUGCGAUGAAGGCCUUCGGGUCGUAAAGCACUUUUGGCAGGAAAGAAACGUCGCGGGCUAAUACCCCGCGAAACUGACGGUACCUGCAGAAUAAGCACCGGCUAACUACGUGCCAGCAGCCGCGGUAAUACGUAGGGUGCAAGCGUUAAUCGGAAUUACUGGGCGUAAAGCGUGCGCAGGCGGUUCGGAAAGAAAGAUGUGAAAUCCCAGAGCUUAACUUUGGAACUGCAUUUUUAACUACCGGGCUAGAGUGUGUCAGAGGGAGGUGGAAUUCCGCGUGUAGCAGUGAAAUGCGUAGAUAUGCGGAGGAACACCGAUGGCGAAGGCAGCCUCCUGGGAUAACACUGACGCUCAUGCACGAAAGCGUGGGGAGCAAACAGGAUUAGAUACCCUGGUAGUCCACGCCCUAAACGAUGUCAACUAGCUGUUGGGGCCUUCGGGCCUUGGUAGCGCAGCUAACGCGUGAAGUUGACCGCCUGGGGAGUACGGUCGCAAGAUUAAAACUUAAAGGAAUUGACGGGGGUCAUAGCUGUUU
rnacentral:rRNA from 1 species